CUGGUCGGUGGCAGAGAAGAAGGAGGAAGAGAAGAGGGGGGAGUUGAAGAGUUUCAACAUCCUCUGGUAGGACCCCCAGUAAGUAAACCAAGGCACCACCUGUCUGAGUAAUAAGGGAGCGAAGCACUCCAAGUUGGAAACGCCUCCGUCUUGCCUCUCCCCCCCCCAUGGACCUCUUCUUGCUCCUGUGCUGUGUGGCCUUUUGUCUCUUGGGAACAGGCUCCGUGGAUGCCGGCAUUACCCAGACGCCAAGGAAUGGGAUUAUAGAGAUAGGAAAGAGCAUUGUACUGGAGUGUUCUCAGACUAUGGAUCAUGCCUAUAUGUACUGGUAUCGACAAGACCCAGAACUGGGGUUAUAGCUGGUCUACUUAUCCUACGGUACCGACAAUAUUAACAAAGGAGAGGUCUCCAAUGGGUACAGUGCCUCUCGAAAGGAGCGAGAGAAAUUCUACCUGUUCCUAGAGACUGCCAUUCCCAAACAGACAGCUCUUUACUUCUGUGCCACCAGAGACUUUCACAGUGCUUCUUGGCCACCUGCUUUCUAUACAGAAAGACAGGCACAUUUGCUCAGAGGGGCACAGAAGG